CCGACCCUCCCGCCUCGCCCGGUCACCGCGAUGCCCGCCCCGCAGUGCGCCUCCUGCCACAAGGCGCGAGCCGCCCUCCGCCGUCCGCGCUCGGGCCAGGCGCUGUGCACCACCUGCUUCUGCACCGCCUUCGAGGCCGAGGUGCUGCACACGGUGGUCGCGGGCCGCCUGCUGCCGCCCGGCGCCGUGGUGGCCGUGGGCGCCUCGGGCGGCAAGGACUCCACUGUGCUGGCGCACGUGCUGCGCGAGCUGGCCCCGCGCCUGGGCAUCUCGCUGCACCUCGUGGCCGUGGACGAGGGCAUCGGCGGCUACCGGGACGCGGCGCUGGCGGCCGUGCGGCGGCAAGCAGCACGCUGGGAGCUCCCGCUCACCGUCGUGGCCUACGCAGAGCUCUUCGGGGGCUGGACGAUGGACGCUGUGGCCCGCAGCACGGCCGGCUCCGGCCGCAGCCGCUCCUGUUGCACCUUCUGCGGGGUGCUGCGACGCCGGGCGCUAGAGGAAGGGGCGCGCCGCGUGGGAGCCACGCACGUCGUGACGGGACACAACGCCGACGACAUGGCGGAGACGGUGCUCAUGAACUUCCUGCGGGGCGACGCGGGCCGGCUGGCGCGGGGCGGGGCCCUGGGCUCUCCGGGGGAGGGGCGCGCGCUGCCGCGCUGCCGCCCGCUGCAGCUCGCCUCGCAGAAGGAGGUGGUGCUGUACGCGCGCUUCCGCCGCCUGGACUACUUCUGCGAGGAGUGCGUGUACGCGCCCGAGGCCUUCCGCGGCCGCGCGCGCGACCUGCUCAAGCUGCUGGAGGCGGCGCGGCCGUCGGCCGUGCUGGACCUCGUGCACUCGGCCGAGCGCCUGGCGCUGGCCCCGGCCGCGCGGCCCCCGCCCCCCGGCGCCUGCUCCCGCUGCGGGGCGCUGGCCAGCCGCGCGCUCUGCCAGGCCUGCGCCCUCCUGGAAGGCCUGAACCGCGGCCGGCCCCGCCUGGCCAUCGGCAAGGGCCGCCGGGGGCUGGGCGAGGAGGGGCCGCCGGGUCGCCACAGCCGUCCGGACCCCCGACUUCGGAGCCCAUCCCCGGCUUCUAGAGACUGCAGUUCGCCGCUGGGAUCCGACGACGUGGCAGUGCGGGGCCGCCUGUAAACGACACUGUGAAGGAACCCGAGUUACCUUAGCCCGGGCUUCGGUGUGAGGUUGGGAAGGGGUCGAACCCCUUACCUGUGGUCCUGCAGAAGCUGGGGCUCUGGGCUCCUGGGGCUGCGGAGGACUCCUGGGUGUCUGGGGGACCCCUGGGCCUCAGAGAGGAGAGAACUAAACAACUUUCCAUUCCUGAGCGACUGGGAACUAGGGGGCCUCUUGCCUGUACCUCUGUGGGGUUCUGGGCGUGCUCAGAUAGUCCUAACCCUUCUUGAGCGCCUACUGUGUGCCUCUGAUGUUUCAUGUUUGCCUGUAGUGGGAUACGCGAAACCAUGUAACUUGAUGGGCACGUCAGUUACAGCAAUCGUGAUGCUUCUGUGUGCGCGCUGUACACAGGGCAGGCGCUGGAUCAUCUCAUUUCAUCCCCAGCAUGAUCUCAUUGGCUGUAGCC